rnacentral:lncRNA from 8 species
AUAAUAUGAAUUUGACAUGUGCUAUACUCUAAUUUAAUGUGUAUGUCUUACAGCUGUUUACUACUGGAUGGUCCUUGCUGUGGACGUGACUGGAGACCUGAAGAGUGAAACGGACAUCAGUGACUGGUUGUGGGAUCUAUUUCAUACUCACUUGGACACCUGCGAGCCCUACCGACCUGAACAAUCAAAUGGCACAAACUCGACAGACACACUGCGAACCACCUCAGUCAGUCCAGCAUAUCCCACCCCCUACAACAUGACAACACGGUUAUACAACUUCACCAUAACAACACCAUCCCAGAACUUCACCACGACAACACAAACGCUGAACUACAGCUCGACCCCCUCGCACAACUUCAGCAUGGCGGCCUCGACAACAAACAUGACAACCAUGCUUUACAAUCACAGUAUUACUACUCCUUCACACAACCAUAGCAUGACUACACCAUCACACAAUCAUAGCACGACAACUCAUUCUCCCAGCUGUACCAUGUCUGCCACCACUAGUGAAGAGCACGAAGGUGGAAACAUGACUGCCGCCAGCCUGUUUCAAGACAUUGAAGUGACAUGCGUCAAUAAAACGAGGAUCAGGAGGACUAACUGCACUGUGCUGCUGAAGCUGAGGAAGCCCACAUUUCCCUGCUGUGUUCAGCGGGCCAUUUGGUUGGCUGCGGAGAACAGCCCCAUACGAGCCUAUAUUGUGGGAAAUAGAGUGUGUAUGGGUCUGUCUCAUUGCGCAGGCCAACUGCCUCCAAGUAAUGGUUCUGCGAAGUGCAAUGGUUCCCUCAAUGGGACCCUCCCUCUCCCAAACACUUGUCAAUCUCCAGGGCCUGUUAAUAUCUCAUGUGGACAUUGCGGGACUGUUUAUGUUCCUCUUGGGAAUCAAACCCAAAUGGACGAUGAGGCGAAGAUUUUCUGCAACUGCUCUGCUUAUUGCGAUGGUACAGCUGCAUGCUACACCUUGGACAUACAGAUCACAGAUUCUGCUAGGCACAUUUCAAACAUCUUCUCUCUGGUUAAACAGCUAAGACAUCCACCACCCUGUCACAACACCUCAGCGACAGAGUAUGUCCUAAUUUCUUCAUUCGUUUUAAUACAAUUUUCUCUCUGCUUAACGGCAAAUAUUCUCCCACUUUCUAGUUCGGUCAUUACAGCCUUAAUGAACCCCAUCAGUGCCUAUAGCACCAUACCUCCCACACCACGCUUGAUAUUUUCCUGA